CCUUAGAAUACAGAGGGGAUAUAUUAGCUAGAUAAAUGUGAUAUCUGUGAGAAGAGUCUGAGCAUCUAAUGUGAAUGAAAUCUUCAGAACAGCUAACAUGCUGCAAUCCAGUCAGCUCUAGAUCUCUCAUCACCCACAGAAUUUCCAGUGAGGCCCAGCUCAGCAAAGAGGCAGAAGGAGAACACAACAAACCUUAGCAAAGCUGCAGCCCUGUUGUGGCUGGCUCGAAGUUUGCCUGCAGCUGCUUUGAAGCGCACAUGGCCCUGCUGCCUGGUACCUGUGGGAACAGUGCUUGGUUCUAUCUGUGGUCCUCGCUUCCCUAAAGGCGAUUAUUAAUAAUGAAUAAUUAGUAACAGCUCCCAUGAGAAGCAGGUGACUGAGGCCUGCGUGUGUAGCACAAUGGACAAACACAUCUACUCCUUGGUUUAGAAGGAGGCAUGCCUAUGUGUAUUGCAUUUUUUUCAUAGUGCUGGCAAACCUCACCUGUGUUUACCAAGCUUCACUGAAUGG